GUGUUCAUGAUCAGGGAUGUGUAUUCCUAAGGAAAAGCCAGUCUUACAGAAUGGAAACCCAAAGAAGGUAGCAUGUGCCUCCACCAGUGGGUGACAGUCCUUUCUCUUCAGAAUUGGGAAUAUUGUCUUGGAUUUGUACCAAUGUGGCUGUGAUGUGCCUUGCAGAGGACCUUGGUGUGCUUUGUCUUUCCUGGAUCUGGAUGUCCACACAACUUUCUCAAUCUGGGAACUUUUCAGAUGACUCCCAGCAGGAGCGCUGCUCUGACCCUCGGCCACCAUACUUAAUGGCUCCAAAUGGCAAAGAGGCACACAUCUCCCGCAGUCCUGAAUCCAGACCAUGUCCAACUGCGUAGCGCGUAUCUCUGCUUGGGAUGUACAUGCAUCGCCACGCGUGACCCUACCCGCCCUCCCUGCCUUCCCCUUCAUUUUCCUAGUGACUGACCUUUCUGCUUCUACUUUUGCCACUCCCCAUCUGU